rnacentral:rRNA from 1 species
GAUGAACGCUGGCGGCGUGCCUAAUACAUGCAAGUCGAGCGAACGGACGAGAGGCUUGCUUCUCUGAUGUUAGCGGCGGACGGGUGAGUAACACGUGGAUAACCUACCUAUAAGACUGGGAUAACUUCGGGAAACCGGAGCUAAUACCGGAUAAUAUUUUGAACCGCAUGGUUCAAAAGUGAAAGACGGUCUUGCUGUCACUUAUAGAUGGAUCCGCGCUGCAUUAGCUAGUUGGUAAGGUAACGGCUUACCAAGGCAACGAUGCAUAGCCGACCUGAGAGGGUGAUCGGCCACACUGGAACUGAGACACGGUCCAGACUCCUACGGGAGGCAGCAGUAGGGAAUCUUCCGCAAUGGGCGAAAGCCUGACGGAGCAACGCCGCGUGAGUGAUGAAGGUCUUCGGAUCGUAAAACUCUGUUAUUAGGGAAGAACAUAUGUGUAAGUAACUGUGCACAUCUUGACGGUACCUAAUCAGAAAGCCACGGCUAACUACGUGCCAGCAGCCGCGGUAAUACGUAGGUGGCAAGCGUUAUCCGGAAUUAUUGGGCGUAAAGCGCGCGUAGGCGGUUUUUUAAGUCUGAUGUGAAAGCCCACGGCUCAACCGUGGAGGGUCAUUGGAAACUGGAAAACUUGAGUGCAGAAGAGGAAAGUGGAAUUCCAUGUGUAGCGGUGAAAUGCGCAGAGAUAUGGAGGAACACCAGUGGCGAAGGCGACUUUCUGGUCUGUAACUGACGCUGAUGUGCGAAAGCGUGGGGAUCAAACAGGAUUAGAUACCCUGGUAGUCCACGCCGUAAACGAUGAGUGCUAAGUGUUAGGGGGUUUCCGCCCCUUAGUGCUGCAGCUAACGCAUUAAGCACUCCGCCUGGGGAGUACGACCGCAAGGUUGAAACUCAAAGGAAUUGACGGGGACCCGCACAAGCGGUGGAGCAUGUGGUUUAAUUCGAAGCAACGCGAAGAACCUUACCAAAUCUUGACAUCCUUUGACAACUCUAGAGAUAGAGCCUUCCCCUUCGGGGGACAAAGUGACAGGUGGUGCAUGGUUGUCGUCAGCUCGUGUCGUGAGAUGUUGGGUUAAGUCCCGCAACGAGCGCAACCCUUAAGCUUAGUUGCCAUCAUUAAGUUGGGCACUCUAAGUUGACUGCCGGUGACAAACCGGAGGAAGGUGGGGAUGACGUCAAAUCAUCAUGCCCCUUAUGAUUUGGGCUACACACGUGCUACAAUGGGCAAUACAAAGGGCAGCGAAACCGCGAGGUCAAGCAAAUCCCAUAAAGUUGUUCUCAGUUCGGAUUGUAGUCUGCAACUCGACUACAUGAAGCUGGAAUCGCUAGUAAUCGUAGAUCAGCAUGCUACGGUGAAUACGUUCCCGGGUCU